UGACGGUACCCUACUAGAAAGGAGCCGCUAACUUCGUGCCAGAAGCGUCGGUAAUACGGGGGCUCCAAGCGUUAUCCGGUGUUAUUGGGCGUAAAGAGUCGUGUAGGUGGUUGGGUAAGUUAUCUUUCAAAUAUCUUUGCUUAACAAAGAGGAGGGGGAUAACACUGCUCGACUAGAAUUUUCUCAAGGGAGAUCGGAACUGAGGGAGGAGUAGUGAAAUGCGUUGAUACCCUCGGGAACACCAGUGGCGUAGGCGGAUCUCUGGGAGAAGAUUGACACUGAGACACGAAAGCUAGGGGAGCGAAGCAGAUUAGAGACCUGCGUAGUCCUAGCCGUAAACGCAUGCUUGCUAGCUGCAUGAAUCUACCUUCGGGUGGUAUCGUGUGGCGAAGGUAACCCGUUAAGCAAGCCGCCUGGAAAGUACGGCCGCAAGGCUGAAAUUCAAAGGAAUUGGCGGGGAGGCACACAACCAGUGGAACAUGUGGUUUAAUUCGAGACUAACCGAAGAACCUCACCAGGGUUUGACAUGUAGCUGCACGUCUUAAGAAAUUAAGACUCUCUUGAAGGUGCUACACGGGUGCUGCAUGGCUGUCGUCAGCUCGUUCCGUGAGGAGUGCCCUUAAGUGGGACAACGAGCGCAACCCCUAUUACAUGUUAGAAAUGUCAUGUAAGACUGCCUUGCCAUUUGGCGGGGAGGAAGGAGGGGCAGACGUCAAGUCCGCAUGGUCCUUAUGCCCUGGGCUACACACAUGUUACAAUGAGUACGGCAAUGAGUCUGUCGCGAGCACGUAAGUGUAAGCUAAUCUCUGAAAUGUACUCUCAGUGGGGAUUGAGGUCUGCAACUCGACCUCAUGAACACGGAAUUGGUAGUAAUCGCGGGUCGGCUAUACCGCGGUGAUACGUUCUUGCCUCUUGCACACACCGCCCGUCAAACCAGCAAAGUCGAUUGUAUCCGAACCU
rnacentral:rRNA from 1 species